rnacentral:rRNA from 1 species
GACGAACGCUGGCGGCGUGCUUAACACAUGCAAGUCGAACGGUGAAGCGCCUUCCUUUUUGGUGGGUGUGGAUGAGUGGCGAACGGGUGAGUAACACGUGAGUAACCUGCCCCCUUCUUCUGGAUAACCGCAUGAAAGUGUGGCUAAUACGGGAUAUUCUGGGUCUGUCGCAUGAUGGGUCUGGGAAAGAUAUUGUUUCGGUGGGGGAUGGGCUCGCGGCCUAUCAGCUUGUUGGUGGGGUGAUGGCCUACCAAGGCGGUGACGGGUAGCCGGCCUGAGAGGGUGGACGGUCACACUGGGACUGAGACACGGCCCAGACUCCUACGGGAGGCAGCAGUGGGGAAUAUUGCACAAUGGGCGCAAGCCGGAUGCAGCGACGCCGCGUGAGGGAUGGAGGCCUUCGGGUGGGGAGCCUCUUUCGCCAGUGAAGCAGGCCUGCCUCGUUUGUGGGUGGGUUGACGGGAGCUGGAUAAGAAGCGCCGGAGAACUACGU